CCUACGGGAGACAGCAGUGAGGAAUAUUGGUCAAUGGCCGGAAGGCUGAACCAGCCAUGCCGCGUGAAGGUCAGUGCCCUAUGGGCGUUAAACUUCUUUUGUGCGGGAGCAAUAAUGGUCACGUGUGGCCAGACGAGAGUACCGUACGAAUAAGCAUCGGCUAACUCCGUGCCAGCAGCCGCGGUAAUACGGGGGAUGCAAGCGUUAUCCGGAUUUAUUGGGUUUAAAGGGUGCGUAGGCUGUGAGGUAAGUCAGCGGUGAAAUGCCCCCGCUCAACGGGGUGAAGUGCCAUUGAUACUGCCUGGCUGGUAUGCGGAUGCGGUGGGAGGAAUGAGUGGUGUAGCGGUGAAAUGCAUAGAUAUCACACAGAACACCGAUUGCGAAGGCAUCUCACGAGUCCGCGAUUGACGCUGAUGCACGAAAGCGUGGGUAUCAAACAGGAUUAGAUACCCCAGUAGUC
rnacentral:rRNA from 1 species